CCAGGUAACUCAUCUAUAUAUAAGCUCUCUCCUGCCAUACCAACGAAAACAACAAACCAUUCGUGAUCGAAGAGCUACAAUGGAAACGACCAACAAAUUUGAAGAUGAAGGUGCUCAGGCUCUUCAAGAAACGAUCGACAAAUUUGAAGAUGACGGUGAUCAGUAUCCUCAAGAAUCGAUCAGGAUCAAGAAGCGACCACCACGGUGCCAUGAUGAUGAUGAGGGCGGGUGUGUUCAGGAGAAAAAGAAGCGAAUGAUGAAGAAGAUGAUGGAGAAGGCAAGUUGCCCAUCUCCCCAUGCAACACCAGAGCUCCCUGUCAUCCUCAGGAAUCGGAUCAGGGCUCUGGGGGGUUCUGAUGUCACUUUUGUAAUCCAGAAGCCUCUCUUCAAGACUGAUGUGAGUUCCGGUCACAACCGUCUCUCCAUACCGUUGAACCAGGUACAACAAAGUUUCCUCACACUUGAAGAGAGCGAGAGGUUGAACUCGGGAGGAAACGGAAAAAAAUGUGCAGCUAUGGAAGUGAUGUUGAUUGAGCCCUCCCUUCAUCGGGAAACCAUCAGUCUGAGGAAGUGGAACAUGAAGAAAGCUUCCGGAAAUUCUACCUCAAUGUAUGUGUUGGUGACUAAUUGGAAAUCGGUUACGGAAAGGAAUAGCAUGAAGGAAGAUGAAACGGUGCAGCUCUGGUCUUUUCGAAUCAAGUCCAAGUUGGGUUUCGCUCUUGUAAAGAGAAGACUACAAGAUGAUCCUAGGAAUCGUUCAUUAAGGGGCAUCCUGGAUAGCUGAUAUGGAUAUCAGGGACAGAUAGGGUUAUAGGAAUGAACUUUGAAGAGGAUGGUGAAGCAUCCGUGGUGGAGAUUGAUGAUGAAUCUAUUACUGGAGAAGAGAAGUUCUGAUACCAUGUCAGAGAAAUCCGUAGAAUGAAAGAACUUUCUGAAGAAUGGAUCUAUCACUGCGCCUACCAUCUAACCACAUCAAUAGUCUCCGGCGAUUCUGAGUCUUCCCUUUGCCCUGUCCUUGCUGGGCUGGGUGGCUGGAGUUUUCUUCCUCACCAUGACAGUUCCUACGACCUUCUCUCGCUGGUCUUGGACCACCACGCUCAGCGGGGCAAUCACCAGCUUCGUUUCCAGGACAUGGCUACAGAUAUUUUAGGUUCAGGACGGGGAAGGUAUUUAGUGGGUCCAAUUCAAUUUUGGUCUAUGUUAUGCUACAGUCAUCCCCUGUAUUCUCGUUCUGAGGUUGGGCAUGUUCUUUCAUUGAACAUUUUCAUCACAACUCAAAUUAUCUGGAAUGAUUUCCUUCUUGCGUUUUGGGGGCAGUUUAUUUACUUGCUGUCAAGACCAAAUGGGAGCAUGCAGCUUUGCGAAUUUGUGAUUAUUUCAGGGUGCAAAUUCCGUCCUUCCACUCCUUAAGGCACAUGAACCUUGUCUCUCAAAUCCUCUGCCUCUCCUACACUGCUUCCCACUGCUGGUUCCAUAUACAUCGCCUAAAAAGUUGUGAGCCUGAAUUCCUUGUGGCCACACCUGAGAGACUUUUGGAGCUUAUUUCCUUGAAGGCCAUUGACAUAUCUGGUGUCUCCUUAUUGGUUGUUGAUGGACUGGACACUCUCUGUAAAGGAGGCUACCUUGAUAUGAUUAAAUCUAUUAGGCAGUCAAUUUCUGGAAAUCCCCAUGCGGUUGUUUUCAGUGAACGCUCAAGCUGUACCUCUGUUCCAGGUGUAGAAGAUCUCCUUAGAGGAUCAUACUGUAGAUUACCUCUUAAAGGUUCAAUUAAUAAUCAAAGUGCUUGCAUUGCUCAGUCUAUACAUGCGUGAAGAAAAACUACUAAAGGUUAUAGGAAUGAACUUUGAAGAGGAUGGUGAAGCAUCCAUGGUGGAGAUUGAUGAUGAAUCCAUUACUGGAGAAGAGAAGCUCUGAUACCAUGUCAGAGAAAUCCGUAGAAUGAAAGAACUUUCUGAAGAAUGUUUUGUUGUUACUACUCUACCAGGAUUAUUGCCUACAGUUUCGGUAGUCAAGAUCUAGCACUAACUACUCAGUUGUAACAAGAAGCUAACUUCU